rnacentral:rRNA from 1 species
AACGAACGCUGGUAGCAUGCCUAACACAUGCAAGUCGAACGAGACCUUCGGGUCUAGUGGCGCACGGGUGCGUAACGCGUGGGAACCUGCCCUUAGGUUCGGAAUAACUCCCCGAAAGGGGUGCUAAUACCGGAUAAUGUCUUCGGACCAAAGAUUUAUCGCCUUUGGAUGGGCCCGCGUUGGAUUAGCUAGUUGGUAGGGUAAAAGCCUACCAAGGCGACGAUCCAUAGCUGGUCUGAGAGGAUGAUCAGCCACACUGGGACUGAGACACGGCCCAGACUCCUACGGGAGGCAGCAGUGGGGAAUAUUGGACAAUGGGCGAAAGCCUGAUCCAGCAAUGCCGCGUGAGUGAUGAAGGCCUUAGGGUUGUAAAGCUCUUUUACCCGGGAUGAUAAUGACAGUACCGGGAGAAUAAGCUCCGGCUAACUCCGUG